rnacentral:rRNA from 1 species
GAUGAACGCUGGCGGCGUGCCUAAUACAUGCAAGUCGAGCGAACAGACGAGGAGCUUGCUCCUCUGACGUUAGCGGCGGACGGGUGAGUAACACGUGGAUAACCUACCUAUAAGACUGGGAUAACUUCGGGAAACCGGAGCUAAUACCGGAUAAUAUAUUGAACCGCAUGGUUCAAUAGUGAAAGACGGUUUUGCUGUCACUUAUAGAUGGAUCCGCGCCGCAUUAGCUAGUUGGUAAGGUAACGGCUUACCAAGGCAACGAUGCGUAGCCGACCUGAGAGGGUGGAGGCCCACACGGAAACUAAGACCGGGACGGCGCCCCUGGGGGGGGCGGCGAGAGGGACUCUUCGUCAGGGGGAGAAGACUGGAGGGAGCACCGCCGGGGGAGAGAGAAAGGUUUUGGAAUCGUAAAACUCUUUUAUGAGGAAAAAAAAAUUGGAAAAGUAAUUAUACACUUCUGAAGGUUCCCUAAUAAGAAAGCCACGACAACCUCGGUC